rnacentral:rRNA from 1 species
AGUUUGAUCCUGGCUCAGAACGAACGCUGGCGGCGUGCUUAACACAUGCAAGUCGAACGUGAUUGGAAGCUUGCUUCCAUGAAAGUGGCGCACGGGUGAGUAACGCGUGGAUAACCUGCCCUGGUAUCCGGAAUAACAUCUCGAGAGGGGUGCUAAUACCGGAUAAGCCUACGGAGCCUUCGGUCUCUGCAGGAAAAGGUGGCCUCUAUUUAUAAGCUACCGUAUCAGGAUGGGUCCGCGUACCAUUAGCUAGUUGGUGGGGUAAUGGCCUACCAAGGCGACGAUGGUUAGCUGGUCUGAGAGGAUGAUCAGCCACACUGGAACUGAGACACGGUCCAGACUCCUACGGGAGGCAGCAGUGGGGAAUUUUGCGCAAUGGGGGAAACCCUGACGCAGCAACGCCGCGUGAGUGAUGAAGGCUUUCGGGUCGUAAAGCUCUGUCAGAGGGGAAGAAAUGGGUCUGGCUAAUAUCCAGAUUCCUUGACGGUACCCUCAAAGGAAGCACCGGCUAACUCCGUGCCAGCAGCCGCGGUAAUAC